rnacentral:rRNA from 1 species
UACCGAGUUUACAACUCCCAAACCCCUGUGAACAUACCUAUACGUUGCCUCGGCGGAUCAGCCCGCGCCCCGUAAAAAGGGACGGCCCGCCCGAGGACCCCUAAACUCUGUUUUUAGUGGAACUUCUGAGUAAAACAAACAAAUAAAUCAAAACUUUCAACAACGGAUCUCUUGGUUCUGGCAUCGAUGAAGAACGCAGCAAAAUGCGAUAAGUAAUGUGAAUUGCAGAAUUCAGUGAAUCAUCGAAUCUUUGAACGCACAUUGCGCCCGCCAGUAUUCUGGCGGGCAUGCCUGUUCGAGCGUCAUUUCAACCCUCAAGCUCAGCUUGGUGUUGGGACUCGCGGUAACCCGCGUUCCCCAAAUCGAUUGGCGGUCACGUCGAGCUUCCAUAGCGUAGUAAUCAUACACCUCGUUACUGGUAAUCGUCGCGGCCACGCCGUAAAACCCCAACUUCUGAAUGUUGACCUCGGAUCAGGUAGGAAUACCCGCUGAACUUAAGCAU